UCAGUCAAUGUUGUAUCAAGUUGAUUAUUUUUCGUCUGAUGAAACUAUCGUUUUAGAGCUUUCAUUAUUUUUAUAAUUAUCAUCACCAUCAUCUUCAAAAGUGAAAUUGAAAAUUAAAAAUCCAUCUACAGGUCAUCAGUUUAUCUAUUUAAUAAUAGAUUGCAAUUGAAUAUGAGUUUGAAUGUUCCCAUUAUUCAAGAAAUUCAUCAUCAUCAACAACAACAAUAAUCUAUUCAACAUCAAUUUGUAGAUUCUUUUUAAUCAAUCAAGCUGACUAUCGUUCCAAAUAUUUUGUUAUUUGUGAUCGUGUUUACAUACAAUAAUGAAUUGGAAUGGAAGUUGCGUUAAUCAGCCAUUGUUAACUCUUGUGUAAUUCGCUAACCAUAACAAUAAGGUGUUUAUCCUCAUCAUCGCUUUCUUGGUCCAUCUUCCUUUUCAGGUGAUGAUUGGAAGUUUGAAAGUGAUCACAAAUGUGUAAACAACCAACAAUGAUUGGAAAUUUUUACCAUUUUUUAUCAAAAAUGUGUCUUGCAGUUUGAGGAAUCUCACAAGCUGAUGACUAUUGUAACUUUCAAGCCUAAGUAAACAUCAAAAGGAAUCUGUCAUGAUCAUGAUCAUCUUUGAAUUUACUGUUGUUGCCAAUCGGAUGGAAAUGGGAAAAAGAAAAGCAAAAGAAAAGGUGAAAAAAGGAAGGAAAAGAGGUGGAGUGAAAUUGAAGAAAAACCUGGCUAAAGUUGGACAAUUAACCUAAAUGAUAAUGAGUAGAAAGAAGUCCAAAAAGUAAUCUCAACUUGACAGAAUUGAAGAGUGAUACAAAGAUGAAGAUGAAGAUGAGAUGGCGAAGAGGAGCAAAAAAAGAGAGAGUGAAGAUGAAAACUGGUCCACCGUGAAAUAAUUUUAAAGAUACUAUUAAUACAAGAUUUCCACUCUCAUCAUCAUAAUCGCAAUCAUCGUCAUGUCUGAAGAUAUCAAAAAGGCACAAGUUCCCCUUUUCCAGGUUCAAUUUUUGAUAAAUAUAACCUCAACCUUUAAUUUGUUGUCUGAUUUUGUUUGCGUUACCUCAACAAUUUAUUUAGUUAUCAGCAAUUCAAUUAAUGCCUCAAUCAAAAAUGACUUUGAAUCAAAUUAAGAUGGUCGCAUCUUGAACAACAGUUCAUUGUAAAUCAUCCAGCCAUACCACUCAAUUCAUAGACAUUCAAAUCAAGUAUGCCUCCAGCCUCAUAAAUAUUUAACAAUCAUUUGGAUUUUAAAUUCCAAAUAAAACUAAUUUAAGUUUACUGUCUA